GAAACUCAAGGGGUUGGACAGUACGUUGAAAAAGCUGAAACCUACCUCCAUCAAUACGGUUCUGGUGGUAGUACUCCUGCUUCUGCUCCCGCUGCUGCCGCCGAAGAGAAGGCGGCUCCGGCAGCUGCACCGGAAGAAACAGAAGCACCUGCUCCAGCAUCGGAACCGGAGCCGGUUCCUCAGGAGGAGGAGAAAAAGAGUGAAGGAGGAGCAGAUUAUCUUAAGAUGGCUGGUGACUUCUUAAGCAAGAAAUGAUUAGAGUGUAAUUAGCUUCUUAAUUAAUUAUGUCCUAUGCUUUUAGUUAUAGUCGAGUGUC
rnacentral:lncRNA from 1 species